UAAUACCACCAUCUCAACAGUGUAUAAGGAGCAAAACAGUGUUGUAGAUAGUUUGGCAAAUUUUGGAGCCCAGCAGGAACAAGGAUUUUGUAAGUUGUAUAAACGACUUCCACCUUUUGUGACUUCUUUCUACCACCAAGAUCAGCAAGGCAUGCUUCGUACAAGACUGGUUAACUCGGCUAUUAGUAGUAAUGCUAGUCUUAGGUUAUGUUCUGUAAAUACAGAUGCUAUGACUGUAUUAGGAACUAAUGGGUUACCCACUAAGGGAACCCCUUUGCUACGUUUUGU
rnacentral:lncRNA from 1 species